UAAUGCAUGAGGGCUUUAAAAGAGUAGGUAUUUCACUGUGAUACUGGCUUUCUGGAGUCCUCAGGAAGUCAAGGGGUCUGGAAGUUGAGUUUAUUAGAGGCAACAAGAUUGCUCAUAUUAACUGUGUCUAUAAUAUAUCCAGAUCCAUCACACCACACCCCCUCUACUCCCUACAGCAGCUUAUAUUCAGGCUGAGUUCACACUGCCUGCAAACCCUGCCUGUCCUUGAGUCAACUUAACUGUGUAGAAAAAACCUGACAGUUGCAGUUAUCUCCCUGGCAAGCUGCACGAUAGUGUAAAAACAUCGAGCACGGGUAGAGCCUUCCCACUCAAAAGCAUUUCUACUUUUCUGCAACCGAUGAUCCCAAGACUUUCACUAAACUCAAAUAUUAUUUUGAAACCUAUAAACAAUAUUUUCACCCACAAUGGAAUUUCAGAAGUCUGUUGUCUCGGUUUUCAGCUUAAAUUCUGCAAAGACAGUGUAUUGCUGGUGAGUUACUGGCAGUGGUAACAGACAAGCAGGACGGUAAACUGGGUCUCUCAUGCUCAUCCCUCAGCUCCGGUCAUUAACACAUUAUCUCUGCUCACUGCUACACUGAGAAUGGAUUUUUUUUUUUGUCUUCUUUUCUUUUAACAGGAGUGGAUUUGUGAAUUAGACACACACACAGCUUUGGCAAGGUCAUACCACAGGACUCUGAAUUACAGUUGCUUUUGGAAGAGAGAAACACGUUGCUGAUCAGUCUGACCCUCCACCAGGCCUAACACACCGUUCUACAAACACAACCACUUUUAGGUCAUUUUGGAAGACAAAAGAGCUGUUUGACUUCAAGAUUAAGAUGAAGCUUUCAAGAGUGAUGCCCAUAUGUUGAUGAAAGCAGCAUAAAAAUAUUACCUGUUCAAACAGGAGGGGGGAAAAAAAAAAAGAGACAGAAGUUCUCUUUUAUUCACUGUUCCAUGCAAACCAGAGCCGCUGAUCCCGUUGCUUUCUCCUUGACAGCGCCCGCUAUGCUUGACGGCAUGACCUGGGAUGUGAAGAGAAAGUCAAAGGGAAGCCUACGAUUGCCUCCUGAUGAGGGACCCUUUGGCUGCAGCAUAAUCCACUGACUUGGCACCCUGUGCUGUGUGGUGUAAACCUGGAUGGACACAAAGCCACAGUCUCUUCCAAAACAGUCAGGGUGCAGCAUGUUAAGUACCCAAGGGCUCUGCUCUAGUGACCCCUAAGCUGAG